GACAGAGGGUGCGAACGUUGUUCGGAAUUACUGGGCGUAAAGCGCGCGUAGGUGGCUUCGUAAGUCCGUUGUGAAAGUCAAAGGCUCAACCUUUGAAAGCCGAUGGAUACUGGAAGGCUUGAAUCCGGGAGAGGGAUGCGGAAUUCCAGGUGUAGCGGUGAAAUGCGUAGAUAUCUGGAGGAACACCGGUGGCGAAGGCGGCAUCCUGGACCGGUAUUGACGCUGAGGCGCGAAAGCCAGGGGAGCAAACGGG
rnacentral:rRNA from 1 species